CAGAGGGAGACCGUGCCUGCGGGGGCGAGAUCACAGGCCUACCCACCUAGGGGAGGGCCUUGGGGGGGGUGACAGGGCGGGGGUUGGGCUCUUUCAGCCCUUUGGGCCAGUCAAGGCCUCGGAAUACUCCCGCCCGAGCAGGGCAUUCCCCAAAGAGCCCGGGGCCUCAUUCCCGUGGCCGCCUGCGCUCAGGCCUCGGCCCAGGCCCCCAGGAAACAGCCCCCGCGGGUGUCCAGGGAGCUGGGGGGGCACUCUGCCGCCUCAGCACCUGUGAAAUGGGAUGGGGGGCUGAACAGCGUUAGUCUCCUGACUCACUCAAACCCAGAGGAAGACAACCCACCCCACAGCCUCUGAGGUUGCCAAGGAGGAUGUGUCCACGUAUCACUUGGCAAUAGAAGCAAAUCUUGGCUGGAGAACGUUUUCCUCUCAGAGCAGCGAAGGGGAAAUAAAGCCGUGCCUGGUAAACUGAGGAGCGAGUGAGUGCACAGGUGCGGCCACUGCUCCUCAAGCUGCACCCCUGCCCGCUGCGGCACCCCUGCACGUAGACAGCCCUGCGCCCUGGCCGAGAGGAUGCGCAUGGCCGCCUCUUUCCCAGCCGAGCUGCGCGGCCUCCGCCUCUCCUCCUCCCCGCUCUCCGGGGCUCCCUAACCCUGGCCCAGGCCCCUCACUUUCCUAGCUGAGCCCUCCGGCACGGCCCCUCGCGGCCCGCUGGCUCCUGCGCCUCUGGUCUCUCUGCGCACGUCUCGAGUCCCAGGCACCGUCACAUCUCUGCCUCGCAUCUGGUGUGGCCCUCUCUGUCUCGCUCUGGCCCCUCUCUCACCUUUCUCUGGAUCCCUCCGCUCCCAUCUCUGGGGGUCUCGUCUCCCGAGCUCUCCGGCUCUCUCCUUCCUGGGCGUGCGCUCCGCUGGGUCUCCCUCGGUCUGGGUCGGCCGGCCCCUCUCGCGGCCCCCUCCCUCCCACCUCCCUCCCUUUGCGGUCCCUCCCUGGGGCUCGGCCUGGGGGUAGGGGGCGGUGGCGCGGGGCGGGGCGGCCGGGCGGGG
rnacentral:lncRNA from 1 species